CCUGAUAGGAAGUUUCUUCUUUGAAAGAAGAGCGCAGUUCUCCUGAGUGAAGCUGUCACAGAGACACCAACUGCAUUCCCCCCGAGGGAUGUGCAGGCUCCAGGCCAUUCUGGGAAGGACAUGAGACACAAGGUAUAAGGCCACAGAGAGGAGCCACAAACUAUCAAGGAGAUGUAAAUGUGGAAGGUUGUUAUGAAGCUAAAGCUAAAUAUGUGUGAAAGAAUUUGAUAACUGGUAAAACGUACAAAUACAAGGAUGAUUCUGGUGGGCUGCUGCCCAGAUGUUCUUGGAUUUCUACUAAAAAAGGCAGCGUUACACACUAAGGAAACACUUAAUGUUUGUUGAUACAUGAUUCUGUUACUAAGGUGUGCAAUAAAAACUUGAAGCUUAGGUAAA